rnacentral:rRNA from 1 species
AUGUUGCUUCGGCGGGUAGGGUCUCCGCGACCCUCCCGGCCUCCCGCCUCCGGGCGGGUCGGCGCCCGCCGGAGGAUAACCAAACUCUGAUUUAACGACGUUUCUUCUGAGUGGUACAAGCAAAUAAUCAAAACUUUUAACAACGGAUCUCUUGGUUCUGGCAUCGAUGAAGAACGCAGCGAAAUGCGAUAAGUAAUGUGAAUUGCAGAAUUCAGUGAAUCAUCGAAUCUUUGAACGCACAUUGCGCCCGCCAGCAUUCUGGCGGGCAUGCCUGUUCGAGCGUCAUUUCAACCCUCAAGCUCUGCUUGGUGUUGGGGCCCUACAGCUGAUGUAGGCCCUCAAAGGUAGUGGCGGACCCUCCCGGAGCCUCCUUUGCGUAGUAACUUUACGUCUCGCACUGGGAUCCGGAGGGACUCUUGCCGUAAAACCCCCCAAUUUUCCAAAGGUUGACCUCGGAUCAGGUAGGAAUACCCGCUGAACUUAAGCAUAUCAAUAAGGCGGAGGAA